GGUUGCAAUAAAAUAGAAUGUCGAGUGGCAUUCGAAGGAUUAACCCUUUGCAUUCGAAAGCUUUCCACUGGAAAUAUUCUAUACUUUCUAAUUGGAUGUAGACGAGUUCUUUAAUAUGAAUUUAACAAAUCAUUCAUAAAUUAGGUAGCAGAACUAUUUCCUUUGAAUACCAAGUAAAUACCAAGAUUUAUAAUUUUGCUGGAUCAAAUCAUCUAGGAGUCGCCUCUCGAGUGUAAAGGGUUAACAAUUCCGGAACGUUGAUUUUGAACCGAAGAAGCGUCGGAUGUUCGCCUAUUGUGCGCCGGAGCGAGGUACGAAACGGAGAAACCGACGAUUUCCUGUGAAACACAAUUCGCCUCCCUCGAAAGCUAUCAGAUCUCACGUUCUUCGAUGCAUCCAAUAAAAUGUUCUUGAUAAACACGACCGAUGGUGUGUGAUUCGUAGCGAGUAAGUCCGCGGCUGGCCGGGGAUCCGGUCGGCCCGCGAUCGAGGCUGGAACUGACGAUCGCUUCAAUACAACUGUUAUGUAAUCUCCGUGAAAAUCGUCUUUCGUUUACGACGCUUCGUCGACAGGUUUUUCAAAUAUCGCACGAUCAGUUGGAAUAAUCGAAAUUAUUGUUCCUCAAACUCGACACCGUCAGGCUUGACGAAGGUUCACCGACGUCGUGUUUUAACACUUUGACCGCCACGUCAACGAAGUUCGGGUGGUACCGUUUUUAUAGAAAAUUGAAACGUUCGCUUUCCUCGUGGCAUAUCGAACCGAAUUUUGUUGGUACGAGGUAUAAGAAGCAUAGAGCAAUUACGAUGAAGAGUCUUCGCAUUUUAGUUUCUAUUUGAUUGAAACUGUUUCGACGAGGAGCGUCUACUUAGCAGUCAGAGUGUUAACACGUUCCGUGCCACGUGUGCCAUUUAUGGUACGCGCGGAAUUUUUCCAAGGAAACGUUUCUUGCGAGACAUGUUCCAGAGAACAAUGGUACAAGUGAAACGAGAGAAAUGUGAAGAAAUAAUGGAAUAUCCGCAGAGUCAGCGGAAGCUUGAUUGUAACUUGAUCUAUCAUUGGGAAAUCAGCGUUUGCAACACCUAACCGGAACUGGCACGGAAUGUGUUAACCGCGAAUAUUCAACAUUUCCUGACGAGACGAAGACGAUAUUUUAUGAAACUAACUAGAAGAGUUACUUUAUUUCAAUACUUCUCAAAUUGAUGCGUUAUACGGAGUAUAAUAUUAACCCCUUGCCCUAUGAUUUACUUUUUACUUUUCGACUAUCAUUAACAAUUCAUUAGGAAAAGAAUCUUCCUCUAUAUUCGUGUCUACUCCAAUGACUGAUAACAGAGAAGCUUAAUUUAUAUUCAAAGCGAGUAAAUACUAUUUAGAUUUCUCAGAUUCAGUGGAACAUUUGUUUUAGCCCGACACGAGUAGGUCAAGGGGUUAACCAUCAGAUUUGAUAGUUCCACUGUACAUAAUCAAAUGUUCGAGAGUCGCCUCGAGUGCAGAGGGUUGAAUCGAGACUCGAGGAGACCCGCAGCGACCCGAACGUCCUCGCCGUUCCCAUCCGUUUUCUCGUCCGAGGAAAAAUGAUCGUCGAAGACGAAUACCGCACACCGCGGCCCGGUGUCCUCUUCGAUCCCGGCGCGCGUGUUUUCCAGAAACAACAGCCUUGGAGGGUAUCGGAUUAUCGAUUCAGCCUUGCCACUGUUUACGUCCGCAGCGUCACAAAGGAGUUAAUGUAACGGAGUUAGAUCGGUCGGAAGGGAUUCCAAGAGAAACGCACUCGUCGGCACGAGGGAAAGAAGUCCUCUCCCCGCUUCCUCCGGAUUCCGUUUCGCAUGGAAAGAAAUCGAAACGGCGGACUUUUUUGCAUUUCGGCGGGAUAACGGCGAGCGUUCGACGGCUGCGAGGACCUCUAGCUCUCGGCGUCUUUUUAUACUACGUGUCCUUGUCACUAUAACCGUACCGUUGACGUCGCCCGGAUUUUUAGACGGUGAUUUCAUCCAUGGAGAUUAGUAAUCGGCCGAGAUUAUGUGGCACGCCGGCUUCCCGUUAGGGGAAACACCUUGCGCGCGGCCGAUCGAAGAGGACGCCCGCCAGCGAGACGACAGGGGAACCCCCUGUAAUGGAAUCGACUCUUUGCGGACGAAUCUCGACAUCCUGAGAUCACAUGUUCAUGUUUCGAGUUGCACACGAAUCAUUUGGUUGAAUACCGGCGUGUUUACUUUUACCUGUACUUGACACGUCGAAUGCCGGGUCACCGGUGACCCUCGAAUAGGAUCACUAUAUACUUGAUUCUCAUUUACGCGAAAGUCUGUUCCAUGGGUUCGUUUCGAACGAAAAUCGCGUAGAAGUCGAUACGAGAGAAAAGAAUGUUGAAGAGAAGCUGGUAUAAGUUUCGUCCGCAAAGGGUUGAAAUAUUCUGGAACUCCUGUUUUACAAUGGCCGACUCGUAUCAACCCUUUGCACUCGACAAUAUUUUUCACUACAAGUAUUCAUGAUUUCCCGAUGAAAUAUUGGUACUGCGACUGACAAAGAGGAAUCUUGCUUCAAUUAACCCUUUGCACUCGAGAAUAUUUUUCUCAAUAAAUAUUCAUUACUUUCUGAUGAAAUGUCAAUGAUAUUUUUUACAAUUAACAUAAGGAAAUACCUUGCUUAAAUUAAGUGACAAUAUUGACGUGUUCGGACAUUAUAUAAAAUUUAAUAUUGAAUUUUUAAUUAUACAAUGUUCUUGGGUCAAAUCAAAUGGCGACUGGAAGGCGCCUCUCGAGUGCAAAGGGUUAAGGGUCAACUAUUUAUUAUAACUAUGUUGAAACGAACGACUUGUCGCCUCUCGAAUACAAAGGGUUAAUCUGGCUCUCCGCUCGACUCAGUUUCUCAUGGAGAAUUUCACUGAAUUCCUCUUUAAACCGCGUUAUAGGGGGUUCUACGCGCUCGAUUCUCGACACGCGAGAAGCCUGCGUCGCGUGUACUCGCUCCAUCGUACCGAAACUUCUACAAAAACGCGUGCGAAAUUCUGGCAGAUAAGUUCAGUAAGAAAUCCUUCGGCUAAUCCUCUGCAAGACUCGUUUACCAGUUUAUCUUCCGAGUCUUCGGCUUGAUUGCACCUAGCGACUAAAAUCACCGAUUUCCCGACUAAUCGGAGAUCCUCCAAGAUCAAUCGUGAAUUCAAUCGAAACUCGACUUACAUUAGAAUUUCCAUAAACGAGAGAUCGCUGGAGUGCGGUGCGUUCGAGCGAAAAGGCGAAUCCGCAGGGGAACACGGGAAGAAAGUCGUGCGGACGACGUUAAUUAUCUACUCCGUAGUUAGCGACGAGAUGAGAUCGUGCAAUAAAGUUCAUGAAACGACCGGUACCAUUCCACGCGUUCAACUAUACGGGUAUUAACCAGUUUUCCAUUUUCAAGCGAAUCUCGAUGUCACUUUGUUCCGUUGUCGAGCAAUAAUCUGUGGCGACGAUCGGCGGGCGAGAGAGAACUCUUUCUUCCUCGUAUCCUUCCGUAGUUUUCUCUGACCGAUAUAAAUGCCAUAGGGACCCCGAGCGGCGGGUUCAGGACGCGCCUGUUCUCCGGCGAGAGACGCCUGAUGUAUUCGAAUCGUUUCUCUGCGUGUACAGUGUCUAUGUAAUCAGACCCUUUCGUGAAUAUAUCCACGUGUAUGUUAAUGUAACGUUAAUCCGCAGUCUCGUAGCGUUCCGAACGGGAGGGCCGUCGGCCGAUUAGCACCGCGACACGUUCGCCGUAGAAUUUUCACGAGCUGCCUCGAGAAAACGAGGGAAAAUUAUUAGACCGGUCGACCGACCCGCGGUAUCGGUGUUCCAAAUCGCCUUUCACGCUUAGACGUGCGCUCGUUGGCCAACGGUUCGAAAUCGAUCGUUCGUUUCUGUGAUGUUCCGUUGAUUUUGACUGGAGAACCGUAAGGUUGCGAUGACCGAACGCUUAGGCGACUUCUAUUAUCUUCAAUUGAAUUGAUCCAAUCGAUCGGUUAGAAACUGUGUUUUUAAAGAGAACCGUAUUUGAUGAAUUGCAAAUAAUUCUAGUUGAGGAUUUAGCAAGUAACAGAAGGAAAUACAAACAAUGAAAGGUAAUAUGAAACAAUGAUCCGUAUGGUUAAUCCGAGCGAGUGUGAAGGGAUCUAUCACUAUUGCCCGUUGGAACACCGUGAUCGCGACAGGGAACGGUAUAACAGGAUGCAAGUCGAAUGCGAGCAACGAUAGACCGUAGGGUUUAAUAUGAAAUUGAUAGAAAUCUGAUCAAUAUCAUCAGGCCUAAUAUACUUAACGUUGCGUGUAUUUGUUGUUGUUGCCGGUUCAUAUCUUAUAUAUUCCGAAUAUUGAAAGAAGGAUAUUUCGUCUAUAAAUUUUCAAUGUUAUACGUCAUUUAUGAUAAAACAUCGACGAGAGGAAAAACACAAAAAAAUUCGAGUGAGAGAGCUGUAAACGUGAGACAGAGAGAAUGAGAGCAAACGAGAGAGAGUGAGAGAGUGA